GGGCGAGUGGCGGAAUUGGUAGACGCGCUGGACUUAAAAUCCAGUGACUGAAUAAGUCGUGCGGGUUCAAUUCCCGCCUUGCCCACCA
rnacentral:tRNA from 2 species